GGCAAAUUUCAAAGCAGUAUGAUAUCCCUGUGACAUAAUUAACAACCACAAGGGGUUCAACACUAUUAAUACUCUCAGCGGUGUGGCAGGAAGCUUAAAGUGUCUCCAAACUUGCCAGAAAAUUAUGACGAGAGGUCAACAAGAACCGCCGGACAACAACUAAGACUUUAAUGUAAACGCUUGACCAGGUGGAGGCUAAGUUGUCACGGUCAACCAUCGAACAAUUCUCCGGAAGGCCCCACUGCUCAGGGAAAAAAAUGUAGACGUAUGCCUAGUCUUUGCUAGAGGUUUCUGAAGUAUGAUCCCAGCUAUUGGUCAACCGUUUUGUGGUCUGAUGAGAUGCAUCACAAGAACAAAAAAUCACAGAAAUUAACAGGGGUAUGAAUCAUUUUGAGGACAAACAUUGAGGAAUAACACAACUAAUCUUAAUAUUGCUAUCACCUGAGAUCGGACCAAAGGUAUAUUCAUGAGAACAUUGCUAUUAUUAGCCUCUAAAGACAGGGAAUCUCCACUUCCAAUUGAGGACGACGUUGAUGAAUUUGAUCCCUUGCUGGCAGAUCGCCCAACAAUAUCACAUAGGCCCGCUCCAUGUUGUGGUAAAAAGCACUGGACAAAAUGAACUUUUGUUCGUCUAAGUUGUUCCAAAACGCCAUCUAAAAGAAAUUUUUGUUGAAGAGCAAUUGAAUGGCGUUUAAUUCCUGCGUGGC
rnacentral:lncRNA from 1 species